rnacentral:rRNA from 1 species
CACCGCGGCCAUACGAGUGUUAGCCCAAGUGGACAGUCAGCGGCGUAAAGCGUGGUUAAAGAAAUACCCCAACUAAAGCUGAAGUACCUCAGGGCUGUCGCACGCACCCGAGAAUAUUAAACCCAACCACGAAAGUGACUUUAACCCAACUUGAACCCACGAAAGCUGAGGGA